GGGCUGUCGGCGCGGUCCUGCCCCGCCGCCCCUUUGUGCCCGGCGCGAUGCUGCGAGGGCCCGGGGGCAGCGGCAGGUUUAAGUCUCCAGACGGGUUGAAGAAGUCGCCGAAAAGGAACCACUUCGCAAAGUUUUGUUCCCUCCCUUGAAAUCCCACUGGACGCGGAGCAGAUCUUCACUUGAAGACGGCAAAGGACAGUUUGUGGAAGGCUUAAUGAAGUGAAAGCAAGAGAUCCUGUGGAGGAGGCAAGGGUGGGAGAGAUACGGGAUCAUAAAAUUUGGCAGAGC